rnacentral:lncRNA from 1 species
CAUGCACAUUGCAUAAUUUAUGUUGUCCAUCCAUUAUUCCAACCUAUUCACUUCAAUGCAAAGGAAAAGCAAUGCAAAAAACAACAUUGUAAUCAAUCAUGUAUUAUUAUUUUUUUGCAGAAAGAAAGCAAGAAUGACAGAGAAUACCGAUUACAUUUGCUGGAUUGCAUUCCGUUCCAGACAAAUAAGUGAAUAUCAGCAGUUUCUGCAUCUGCUUCCAUCAGAAUCCUCUGACAUUCAUACUGUAGAUAGGAUCAUUUCAAGGAAGAUGUUGCGAGGGAGAUGGGAAUUUUCCUAAGCCAUGCAAGGUCUUUGACUUUGAGCUCUGGCUCUCUGUGGGCACAAACUGCCUCGGCCUUCGGCUGUCAGCUGAAUGACCAGGCAGAGUAUAUCUCAGAUGCUUCCUGCUAUAGUCUGCUUUACUUGACAACCACUGCUGUUCUCUCUGUUCAUGUAUGUCACACACAGGCCCUGAGCAAAUGCCCUUUUCAAGGUCACGCGAUAGACUUUUAUUAUUCUUGUCGUAAGGCAUCUGUCGUCUCCGGAAACAGCCCAAUGACCUCAGCAGUGUUACCCAAGCUGAUAUAAGCAUUCAAGAAAUGUCAAAGACAGAUGGCUUGAGAGACUCUCUUCCACUGCUUCUAAAUCACCGUGGACCUGCAUCUUGCGCAAGCUGAGCUCUGCAAACGGCGAAGGACUGUGAAGAAAAUGAGGCCAAUAUAGUAUCUAACACAAACCUGCUUUGCUGUAAUUUGAAGCCAGAUUGAAUGGUGCUGCCCACAAUUUAAAGCUCUGCACUUGCUCCCCAGCCUAUUCAUCACAAGGCCGGAUGCUGGUGUUUGGGAGCCCUGGCGCAGUUCCCCAAACAGGGCCUCUUCCCCCUAAAAAGGAGUGCCCAAAAUGCCUGAAAUAAUCCCC